UAAGGAAUAUUGGACAAUGGACGCAAGUCUGAUCCAGCCAUGCCGCGUGAAGGAUGAAUGCCCUCUGGGUUGUAAACUUCUUUUAUAGGGGAAGAAAGAUACUUUUUUUAAGGUAGUUGACGGUACCCUAUGAAUAAGCACCGGCUAACUCCGUGCCAGCAGCCGCGGUAAUACGGAGGGUGCAAGCGUUAUCCGGAUUUACUGGGUUUAAAGGGUGCGUAGGCGGGCAUGUAAGUCAGUGGUUAAAUACCGGAGCUUAACUUCGGAACUGCCAUUGAUACUAUAUGUCUUGAAUAUUGUGGAGGUAAGCGGAAUAUGUCAUGUAGCGGUGAAAUGCAUAGAUAUGACAUAGAACACCGAUUGCGGAGGCAGCUUGCUACGCAAAUAUUGACGCUGAGGCACGAAAGCGUGGAGAUCAAACA
rnacentral:rRNA from 1 species